UCUCCAGACUCCUACGGGAGGCAGCAGUGGGGGAUAUUGCACAAUGGGGGAAACCCUGAUGCAGCGACGCCGCGUGUGGGAAGACGGUCCUCUGGAUUGUAAACCACUGUCCCCAGGGACGAAAAUGACGGUACCUGGGGAGGAAGCUCCGGCUAACUACGUGCCAGCAGCCGCGGUAAUACGUAGGGAGCGAGCGUUGUCCGGAUUUACUGGGUGUAAAGGGCGUGCAGCCGGAGAGACAAGUCAGAUGUGAAAUCCACGGGCUCAACCCGUGAACUGCAUUUGAAACUGUUUCCCUUGAGUGUCGGAGAGGUAAUCGGAAUUCCUGGUGUAGCGGUGAAAUGCGUAGAUAUCAGGAGGAACACCAGUGGCGAAGGCGGCUUACUGGACUGUAACUGACGUUGAGGCUCGAGAGCGUGGGGAGCAAACAGGAUUAGAUACCCGUGUAAC
rnacentral:rRNA from 1 species